UGGAUUAGUGGCGAACGGGUGAGUAACACGUGAGUAACCUGCCCCUGACUCUGGGAUAAGCGUUGGAAACGACGUCUAAUACUGGAUAUGACUGCCGGCCGCAUGGUCUGGUGGUGGAAAGAUUUUUUGGUUGGGGAUGGACUCGCGGCCUAUCAGCUUGUUGGUGAGGUAAUGGCUCACCAAGGCGACGACGGGUAGCCGGCCUGAGAGGGUGACCGGCCACACUGGGACUGAGACACGGCCCAGACUCCUACGGGAGGCAGCAGUGGGGAAUAUUGCACAAUGGGCGAAAGCCUGAUGCAGCAACGCCGCGUGAGGGAUGACGGCCUUCGGG
rnacentral:rRNA from 1 species